rnacentral:rRNA from 1 species
GGGUUGUGAGGUUAAGCGACUAAGCGUACACGGUGGAUGCCCUGGCAGUCAGAGGCGAUGAAGGGCGUGCUAAUCUGCGAUAAGCGCCGGUAAGGUGAUAUGAACCGUUAUAACCGGCGAUACCCGAAUGGGGAAACCCAGUGUGACUCGUCACACUAUCAUUAACUGAAUCCAUAGGUUAAUGAGGCGAACCGGGGGAACUGAAACAUCUAAGUACCCCGAGGAAAAGAAAUCAACCGAGAUUCCCCCAGUAGCGGCGAGCGAACGGGGAGGAGCCCAGAGCCUGAAUCAGCAUGUGUGUUAGUGGAAGCGUCUGGAAAGGCGCGCGAUACAGGGUGACAGCCCCGUACACAAAAGCGCAUGUGCUGUGAGCUCGAUGAGUAGGGCGGGACACGUGGUAUCCUGUCUGAAUAUGGGGGGACCAUCCUCCAAGGCU